rnacentral:rRNA from 1 species
GACGAACGCUGGCGGCGUGCUUAACACAUGCAAGUCGAACGAAGUGGCGAACGGGUGAGUAACGCGUAAUCAACCUGCCCUCCAGAGGGGGACAACAGUUGGAAACGACUGCUAAUACCGCAUACUGAAGGAGGGGACUGCGUCCGUUUAGCUAGUUGGAGGGGUAACGGCCCACAAAGGCGAUGAUCCCUAGCUGGUCUGAGAGGGUGACCGGCCACACUGGGACUGCGACACGGUCCAGACUCCUACGGGAGGCAGCAGUGGGGAAUAUUGCACAAUGGGCGCAAGCCUGAUACAGCCAUGCCGCGUGUGUGAAGAAGGCCUUCGGGUUGUAAAGCACUUUCAGCGAAGAGCGUUACUCUCAGAAGAAGCACCGGCUAACUCCGUGCCAGCAGCCGCGGUAAUAC